rnacentral:misc_RNA from 1 species
GAAAUGCGAUAAGUAGUGUGAAUUGCAGAAUUCAGUGAAUCAUCGAAUCUUUGAACGCACAUUGCGCCUUCCGGUAUUCCGGGAGGCAUGCCUGUCCGAACGUCAUCAAGCCCCUCGCCUGCAUCCUUUGCAUGUCAAAGGUAGCAUGGGCGGUACUUGGCAGAUGGUCGCCCUAGCGCGUCCACCGCCGAAAUGCAUCGGCAGACCCACCAUGGCUGUGAUUGUGAUAAGGUUUUACUUACAGUUACAAGCCUGGUAGGCGUCUCGCCACAAGCGUCCGGCUGGUCCUCCACGGGAUCUCCGGCACAAACCAAUCUUUUGACUUCGGAUCAGGUAGGGAUACCCGCUGAACUUAA